rnacentral:rRNA from 1 species
GGCGGCGUGCCUAACACAUGCAAGUCGAGCGUAGCGAUUUGACGGAAGUUUUCGGAUGGAAGACAAAUUGACUGAGCGGCGGACGGGUGAGUAACGCGUGGGUAACCUGCCUCAUACAGGGGGAUAACAGUUAGAAAUGACUGCUAAUACCGCAUAAGCGCACAGCAUCGCAUGGUGCAGUGUGAAAAACUCCGGUGGUAUGAGAUGGACCCGCGUCUGAUUAGCUAGUUGGUGGGGUAACGGCUCACCAAGGCGACGAUCAGUAGCCGACCUGAGAGGGUGAUCGGCCACAUUGGGACUGAGACACGGCCCAAACUCCUACGGGAGGCAGCAGUGGGGAAUAUUGCACAAUGGGGGAAACCCUGAUGCAGCAACGCCGCGUGAGUGAAGAAGUAUUUCGGUAUGUAAAGCUCUAUCAACAGGGAAGAAAAUGACGGUACCUGACUAAGAAGCCCCGGCUAACUACGUGCCAGCAGCCGCGGUAAUACGUACGGGGCAAGCGUUAUCCGGAUUUACUGGGUGUAAAGGGAGCGUACACGGCGCUGCAAGUCUGAAGUGAAAGCCCGGGGCUCAACCCCGGGACUGCUUUGGAAACUGUAAUGCUAGAGUGCUGGAGAGGUAAGUGGAAUUCCUAGUGUAGCGGUGAAAUUGCGUAGAUAUUUGGAAGAACACCCGUGGCGAAGGCGGCUUUCUGGACUGAAACUG